UCCUCUGUCUGCUUUCUUGAUCCGAUCAGGGGUUAAAACGUGGCAGAUAAUUGACGGAAUGAAGUUAAUAAUUCGGACUUGUUAGAAAUGAAAAAAGUGACAAUACAGUUAUUAAAUGAUACGUUGAAGAAGGAGCUCUUGGAGGAGUUGGGAGCACUUAGAACAGACAUGAAAGAGUUUUAAAAAGAGCUGGGAGUUCUGGAAAGCCAGAUUAAUAUAAAUUCUAUAAGGAUCUUUCACCAGGAGACUAUGUCCAAGGAACUUCAAAAACAUGUAAUUCAAUUACAGGAUUCCCAAAGAAGAGCCAACAUUAGAAUUAUGAAUUUGCUGGAAGCACCUGGAGAGGCCUAACAUAAAAAGAUUCAAAGCUGGAUAAGUGACAUUUGUAAAGAACUUCAAUUCUCUGAGUGGGUUCUUGAUUGAGUUCAUUGAGUGGGUCUAAAGAGAUCUGGUGGCGCCCCUAGAGAUGUCUUAGUGAGGGUUGUGAACUAUCAAAAAAAGGAAAAGUUUAUGCUUUUUUAAAGGCAAAAUCCAAAGGAUUUAUCUAUUGGAGGAGUGUCUGUUUUGAAAAAUUACAAUUUAGAAGGAAAAUGAAAAGUGUGCUGGCAUUGUUGAGAGAAAAAUCUAUUAAUUAUAGCUGGGGGUAUUCUGUUUUUGUGUGAAUUCAACUUAAUCAGAAGUAUUAUCGAAAAGAUUGUCUAGAAGGGUUUUAACAUGGUUGAGAGAUUAUGGGUUUUUUAUCACUUCAGGAAUAUGACAACCAGAUGGAUAAAAUGUUGACAGAAGUAGGCGAUCUAGAGCCGGAGACAUCAGAGAGGGGGGAUCUCAGGUCACUGAAGCAACUGCCAAUAGGAGAGGAAAAUACUACAGGGACUGGAUCAAAACAGGAGAGCCCUAAAUUACCAAGAAAAAGGAGGGGGAAGAAAUAAAUGAACUGAUGUGAAGAUGGUCCUUUGGGUUGUUUGGGUAAAACAAAUACAAAACGGUUAAUUAGAAAUGAUGGUUGGCCCCCAUUCAUAAGAUUUAGGUGGACCAGGAGGAGAAAACUGUAUUAUUUUUGUUUUGGAUCUAAGUGUUGUAAAAGGUAAAAAAUAUUUAUUGUUACACAUUUAGAGCUUAAGCUAAGUAGGAUCCCUUAUGAGCAAAGGCAUGUAAAUGUACUAGAACUAAAUUGAGCUUUAAUAUAUGAGGUAAGGUAGAUGGGAAGGUGUGGGUACUUAAGUAAUGGGUAAAAAACUAAGGGGCAGUAAGAAAAAACAGGAGAGCCCUAAACUGCCAAGAAUAAGUUGGGGAAAGAAAUAAUGAUGAACUGAUGUGAAGGUGGUCCUUUGGGUUGUUUGGGUAAAACAAAUACAAAAUGGUUAAUUAGAAUUGAUGGUUGGCCCCCAAUGCUAGGAAUUAGAGCUUGCAUGGACCAGGAGGAGAAAAUUGUACUAUUUUAGCUUCAGACUUAAGUGUUGUAAAUGGUAAAAAAUAUUCAUUGUUACACAUUCAGGGUUUAAGCUAAGUAGGAUCCCUUAUGUACAAUGGAAUUUACAUGCACUAGAACUAAAUAGAACUAAGGUGUGGGUAAUAUAGAGUGAGAAAUGAAAUGUUACUGUUACUAAGUGUAAAGGGUGAAAAACUGGAAUAGCACAGGAUCAUUGAAGUCUCUUAAGGCCAAGAAGCCUGAGAAUUAAAACAUGUAAAUGGUUGUUCUAAGAGUAAUAAUGUUUCUUACAUCAAAAGUCCCAAAAAAUACCAGAAGGGGUAAAAUUGGGGGACAGUGGUAAAACCGUCACCUUCACAAUAGUAAUGGGCAGUAAGAAAUAUUUAAAAUAGUGAGAUCUCAUAGCAAUUUGGUAUAUGAUGCAGUAAGUUUUAAUAUGGAAGUUUGUCUUUAGGGACAAUCUAUAGAAUUUAAGGGUUAAUCCCAAUAGAGUAGGAUAUUGUAAAUAAAGGGGCUAUAUAUAAAUUUAUAAUAAAGUUUGCAAUAUUAGGUAAUUAUACACAACAGGGAGGUGGUGAGUGGUCUAUCUUUUCCCCUUUGGAGGGGGUUACGCUCUUUCUCCCCUCCCCCUUGUGCCUAAGGGCAGGAAGGCUGCAGGGGAAUGGGGGUAAUUCAAGGGGGAAGAAAGUUUGUCUAUGUAUCAGGGUUGAGCGGAAGUUGUGGGGUUAUUGUUUGAUUUAUGUUUUCUAUGUUAUAUGUAUUGGCAAUGUUAAAUGUGGAUCACAAGACUCGGGAUUGAAGCUACAGUGUUGGGAAAACCAAAAUGGUUAAACAAAUUAAUAUAUUAACAUGGAAUGUGAAAGGCCUAGGGACAAAUUUAAAAAGGGGUAAAAUACUGAAUGUAUUGAAUAAGCGAACGAACAAUGUGGUGUUUUUACAGGAAACUCCUCGGAAAAAGGAUGGGUUAAAUGAAAUCAAAGGGAAUUGGAUGGAUGUUUAUGAAAAAUGUUUUGGAACUUCUAAAUCCAGAGGUGUAGCUAUUAUAAUAUCUAAGUGAUGUGAAUUUAAAGUUGAGAAGGUAGUUAAAGAUCAAGAAGGAAGACACAUUAUAGUUCAGGGGCAAAUGAAAGGAGAGAAUUGUGCUUUAGGGAAUAUCUAUGCUCCAAAUGUUAACCAAGAACAAUUUAUGCAGAAGGUUUUAGCAGUAUUGGAGGAAACUAGGAAAGAAUUUGUGAUUUUGGGAGGGGAUUGUGAUAUGGUAAUGGAUAAAAUGAAUGAUAAAUCCUCUUGGAAACAAAGUGAAAAACAAAAUAGAUAUACUAAACUAUACAAGAUGAUAAAUAGGACAGAUUUGAAAGAUGUCUGGAGAGAGCUAAAAGGGAAUGAAAGAAGGUACUCUUCUUAUUCAGAACCUCAUAAAUCCUAUUCAAGAAUAUAUUAUUUAUUUAUAUCUAAGGAGGUAAUAACUAAAGUUAAGUAUGUAGAAAUGGGGGUCAUUCAGAUUUCAGAUCAUUAGCUAGAGUGCAAAUGGAAUUGGACUUUAAAGCAGAUUAUAUGGAAGCCAAAAGAUGGAGAUUAGAUACUAAUAUUUUCAGAUAUAAAAAGGUUAUGGAUAAGAUGCAGAGAGACAUAGAGGAGAUCUGGAAAAUAAAUGAACAGGGAGAGGGGAAAUUUAGUAUGAUAUGGGACGCUAUGAAGGAGGUAUGAAGGGGCCUAGCAAUUAAAGCUGGAUAGAAAGUAAGGAUGCAACAAUCUAAGAGGAUAAGUGAAUUAGAAAAUAACUUAAAUGAAUUAGAAAAUUUUUUUAUUGCAACUAGAAAUGAUUCAAUUGGAAAAGAAAUCCAGGCCAAAAAAGAAAAAAAAAAGAAUGAGAAGGUAUACAUAUGGAAAAGGUGCAGAGAAAAUAUAUUUGAAAAGACAAUUGUUUUGAGUAUGGUAAUAGAAAUUCUAAAUUAUUAGCACAAGCCUCACAGAUAAAGAAAAGGAAGGGUAAUAUUGGAGUGAAAGAGAAUGGAGAAGGAAUAAGAUGUAGUAAGAUGAAGGCGAAAUUAAAUGCGUUUCAAGAAUUUUAUUUUAAAAAUGUAUACAGCCACAGAGGUGGAUACAAAUAAGGUCAUAGAAUAUGUGAAAAAUAACUUGGAAAAGACUACUGAUAUACAAGACAAAGAAGAAAUGGAAGGGGAAAUUACUGAUGAUGAAAUUGAAGCAGUAAUAAAUAAACUGAAAAUUGGUAAAACCCCUGGGGUAGAUGGGCUAGGCCCUGAAUUUUAUAAGUUUUUUUUGUAAAUUAAUGAUACCCAAAUGAAAAUUUUGAUGAAUAAAAUUUUAGAAGGUGAGGAGAUCCCCCCAUCAUGGAAGGAAUCUCUGAAUGUUUUAAUAUUGAAGCCUGGAAAAGUUGCGGUAAAUAUGGACUCUUAUAGACCAAUCUCCCUGAUAAUUCAAGAUGCAAUUUUUUUUUGCAAUCUUACCUAAUAGAUUGCACACCUUUAUUGGAAAAUAUAUUAAUAAAGAUCAAAAUGGCUUCCUGAAAGAUAGACAGAUGGCAGAUGUCUUGAGGAGAGUUCUGAAUAUUAUACAUCUAGCAAAGAAAAAUAGCUUAAAAGCUGGUAUUUUAGCAUUAGACAUUUUUAAGAUGUUUGAUUCAGUGGAAUGGGAUACAUUAAAAAUUGUGUUAGAUAAUAUGUGAUUUGGAGUUAAGUUUAAACACUAUAAAUAAAUUAUAUAAAGAUAACUCUACAAGAGUCCUGGUAAAUGAUGGAAUCACAGAUAUAAUAUCUCUAGGCCGGGGAACACCUCAAGGAUACCCCUUGCCUCCCAUUUUAUUUGUGAUGGUAAUGGAAUUAUUAGCUAUUGUAAUUAGGAAAGAUGCGGAAUUGAAAAGAAUUGGGUAUAAAGAGGAAGUUAAGGUAAAUGUAUUUGCUGAUGAUACCCUAUUGACAUUAGAAGACCCUAUAAAAUUAUAGAUAGACUUAAGCUGCACUUACAAGAAUUUGAGGAAAUAACUGGAUGAAAAAUUAAUUGGGACAAAUCUGCAAUUAUGUUAAUUAAUUAUAGCAAAGAAUAUAAGGCCAAACUGAAAGACUUAUUUGAAGGGAAAAGGAGGGACACAACAAAAUAUUUGGGAAUUUAUAUUAUAUGGAAUAUAUACAAAAUGGCAAAAUUGAAUAAGGAUUAUCUUAAAAAACAAAUAGAAGACUAUAUUAAGGAGUUUGGUAAGGCCAAACUAUCUUGGUAGAAUUGCGGUAUGCAAAAUGAAGGUUAUUCCUAAAAUUAAUUUCCUUUUUUGGAUGCUACCCAUUAAGAUUGCAGAUUCUGAUUUGAAAAGUUGGCAGAAUAUGAUUAAUUCCUUUUGUAAUGGGAAAAAGCUAGAAUUAAUAAAAAAUUAUGGCAUAAAUCCCAAAAGGGAGGAGGAGUAGGCUUACCAAAUAUUAAAACAUAUUAUUUAGCAAAUCAAAUAAGGUAUAUUUUAGAUAUAAUGAUCUAUAAAGAGUUACUUUGGGGCAAUGUUGAAUUCAAAAAGGAUAGAAAUCAUAUGGAAAAUAUUUUAUUUAGGGAGGAUAAUAUUUUCAAUUUAAAGAAAAUAGAAACUCCAUUUUUAAAGAAUAUGUAAGAACUGUAGAGCUAUAGUAGGAAGAUUUUAAUCUCAGUAAUUUCCUCAUUAAUUCCAGUAAUUGCAAUGAAGAGUUUUCCAGAGAAUCUGAAAGGUACGUUACAGAGAGUACUAAGAGAAAAGAACAUAUUAAGACUGAAGGAGUUAAAAAUUUUGGAUAAUAAAGACAAAAUGGGUCAAAUUUGUGCAGAAUUGAAGGGUUCCGGUUGGAAGAUGAUUCAGUUACAAAAUUGGCUGAAAUGAGGAAAACACUUGGUGAAAUAAGAAAAUUAACUAAAUUUGAAGAACUGGUAGAGAGUACAGAGAAGGAAGAUAGUAGUAAUAGGAAAGGAAUUACAAGUUUAAUAUAUAAAAUGCUAAUAGAAGGGCAGUAUGGGCAAUGUAGACUUUUGGAAGGUUUGCAAGAUGAUGUGAGUAAAGAUAUUAGUCAAGUAAACUGGUUGAAACUAUGGAAUAAUAGAAUUAUAAAGAAUAUGUUGAUCAGAGUAAAGGAGAAUUGUUUUAAAGUAAUUUGGGAGUGGUAUAAUAUACCGGUAAGGUUAAACAGAAUUAAUUCUGAAUUAAUGCCUCUUUGUUGGAGGUGCGAAAAAGAACAAGGGACUUAUUAUCAUAUGUGGUGAUUGUGCAAAAUUAAACAGAAAGAAUGGGCAUGAUAUUUAAGGAAAUUAGUGAUAUUAUGGAUAGAAAGAUUUUGAUGUUUCCGAUUAUUGCACUUUUGAAUACUUUUUCGGAUUUGCAAUUAGACAGCAGAACAAGAAUUGUUAUUAUGGUUACUGCCACCAGAUUACUAAUGGCUAAAAAUUGGAAAGGUAUAGAUUUAAUCAACAUUCUUGACUGGUAUAAUGAAAUGUGGAACUUAGCCGUUAAUGAUAAAUGAACAUGUGAUUUGAAAAUUAGGCGAGGGGAAAGGAAAAUAAAUUAUUUUACAAGAAUACUGAAUGUCUUUUUACUAUAUGUACUAGAGAAACAUAAAGGGAAGUAUCCGGCAAAAGAUUCACUGCAUUUUUGAAGAGUCAUGGCGUUUAGUGGUGAUCUUUUGCAAGCUUUACUCCAGAGGGUGAUGGGAGCACUAUGUUGUUAUGUAUAGUUUUAGUUUAUGACGUUCUGUAUAUUUGUAGCCUAUGUUGUUAUGGUUUUUUUAGUCUAUGUAUUAUGUAACUUAUGUUAUUUGUAUAAUAUUGUUAUGUAGUAGUAGUUAUUAUUAUUUUUAUUUUAAAAAGGAGGACUAAAUGGAGGAGCACCAGGCCCCAUCUUUGUAGAAUGAAGGGGAUGUUGCUCUGCCUCCACAAUCUGCAUGUUUCUCUCCCAACAGAAGUAAGAUUCUCCAGUACAGUGGACACCUCUUAAUCCAAGGUCAGCAUCACCAGUGGGGAUGAAAUAUUCUCAUCAAUAAAUAGCGCAGACAGCUUAAGCACAGUCAGCUUUGGUGCAGGUGGAGAGGAUGCUUAGAAAAGGAAGAAUGGAUCACACCAAGAUUUCUUUUUAAAUACAGUGAACCUGUAUACACUUAUGCCCACUUGCCUUCGCCAUUGCCUUUGAUGCUGUGCCCACAACAGAGUAAUAUGGCUUCUUCUGCCCCACCACUUGUCUCCUGCAGCCCCCUGACAUGUGUGGUGGGAGCACCGGGGAGAGGAGGGAAAUGGAAAGAGGAGGGAAAUGGACGCAGAGACCAGGCGUGGCCACACCAGCCACACCUGCAUAGCCAGCCAGCACACAGGACAAUGCCAGUUUGGUGUUGGUUUGAGCACUGGAGUUUUCCUAUUAGGGUUAUUGUGGCUUUAUUAUUGUUAUUUUACUGUUCUUGAUAUUGUUGCAUAUUUGAUAUUGAUAUUUGCUAUUAUUUUUGAUACUGUAUUUUUCAUUUUGCUUAAUUGUAUUAUGUAUUAUUUAUCUUGGAUUUUACUAUAUUGUUUUAUUAGGUAUUGAGAUAUUGAAUUUGUAUACUGCCCAGAGAACCCAAAGGGCUAUGGGGUGGGAUAGAAAUAUAAAUUGAAAUGAAAAACUAAAUAAACUCAUAAAAAAACAUUUAAAUGCAGUUAAGCAGCAGAGUAGAGUAAGAUAUACUUAAACUGGAUGGGCAAAUAAAAGAACAUUUGGGCCUUAUACUGAAAAUAAAGAAAUAAGGUGGGGGGUAACACAAAGAAGGACUUAUUCUGCAGUGGCACCCCAACUUUGGAAUGAGCUUUCUAGAAAGGUUUGCCUGAUGCCUUCCUUAUAGUCUUUUAGGCACCAGGCAAAACUCCUUUCUAUUUUGACAGUAUUUAAAUUGUUAACUUGUUUAAGUAGCAUUUUAACUGUGAGUAUGUCAUUAUUAUGGCACAUCUUUAUAUUGGUUUUAAUGUUUAUUUGUAAUUGCUGUUUUAUAUUGUAUUUUAAUCUCUAUGUUAUUUUGUAUUUUAUUGCUGCAACCUCCCCAGGGAGCUGGCUAAUGGGGAGGGUUAGAAAUUUAAUAAAUAAUAACUAUAAAAAGA